CAAACGGUUCUUUUCAGAACCACUUCACUCUUUCGAAAAGCCGUCU
rfam:Crassostrea gigas strain 05x7-T-G4-1.051#20 contig4760, whole genome shotgun sequence.